GCCUGGGAGGCUCAGUCGGUUAAGCAUCUGACUUUGGCUCAGGUCAUGAUGUCCCUGUUCGUGGGUUCCGGCCCCACGUCAGGCU
rnacentral:tRNA from 1 species